GUAAAAUAUGAGAACAUGAGAUCAAACAUACUGCGUAGUAGUUACCGUAAGCAUUUUCGCGACAUUUGAUUUAUGUGACUGUAAAAUGAUCAAACACGUACCGGGUUGAACUUUGAUGUGACAUUAUCGAAAUGCAUGAUGAAAUAAACCGUUUGAUUUAAACUGUUGAAAUCAACAAACUGAACUCAGGGCAGAAUGUCUGAUUGUCCCCAGCCAAAAGGAAAGGAGAGGGGGUCCAGCAAAUGCAAUUGCAUAUAUACAAGCAGAGUAGCUUUUAUUUGUAAACUAGCAAACGUCAUGCUAACGUUGGCAUUCCUCGCUCUUUUAAUAGUCUGGACUGUUGUAAGAGCUCCUUUAACAAGACACAAUGAAAGCUUAGCAUGCAUUCCUUGCGACACAAUAAAGUUCAAUGCUAACACAAACCUAGGCCAAGUAGCUGCUGCUAAUUUUCCUAUCAAACAGAGAGAUGAUGGAAUGUGUUGCGGACCUGUCGAAAGCAUUACUCAGAUGAUGUUUCAAAAGGUAAAUCGUAAAGUGCAUUGUUCAGUUUAGCAGAUAAAAUAUUCCCGACUUUAGCACUAAGCAUAACCAGGAUUUUCGAUUCUACGAAAUGUGACUAAAUUACUUCCAACUAUAUAAGAAACGAUACAUUAAGAAAAAAAC